GUGGGGAAUAUUGGACAAUGGGCGAAAGCCUGAUCCAGCCAUGCCGCGUGUGUGAAGAAGGUCUUCGGAUUGUAAAGCACUUUAAGUUGGGAGGAAGGGCAGUAAGUUAAUACCUUGCUGUUUUGACGUUACCGACAGAAUAAGCACCGGCUAACUUCGUGCCAGCAGCCGCGGUAAUACGAAGGGUGCAAGCGUUAAUCGGAAUUACUGGGCGUAAAGCGCGCGUAGGUGGUUCAGCAAGUUGGAGGUGAAAUCCCCGGGCUCAACCUGGGAACUGCCUCCAAAACUGCAUGACUAGAGUACGGUAGAGGGUAGUGGAAUUUCCUGUGUAGCGGUGAAAUGCGUAGAUAUAGGAAGGAACACCAGUGGCGAAGGCGCCUUUCUGGACUGUGUCUGACGCUGAGAUGCGAAAGCCAGGGUAGCGAACGGGAUUAGAAACCCUUGUAGUCC
rnacentral:rRNA from 1 species